CGAAGAUGAGGUUUCCUUGAAGAAAACACUUUGAAGGAUCAAAGAUACCCAUAUUGCUCAGACUGUCAACCAAUAUUUUGACAGGUUUUUUCUGAUGCUCCAGUAUUUGUCCCCUGGAGCCAGAGGCUGUGAGCUAGGUCAGGAUAUUUUGGGAUGGUUUGUGAGGGACCUGGCCCCAUUUUCCUUCCCUGGUGCUGGGAGCAGGUUGUUUUCCUUGAAAUAGUGAAUUACUGGGAAAGCUUCUCCAAAGCCCUCAUUUCCAGGGAGGACUAAUAAUUCUCUGUGGCAGGAGAGCAGCUCCUCUCUCCUGCUGGGGCAUCAUGCUUUGAAUUGUCUGAGAGGGUGGGGAAAAGCCAGCAAACAGGAGCCCUGGUGUCACUGCUGGCUGGGGAAAUCUAUGGCCCAUUAUACUGGAGCCAGUGGGAAAUACAAUUUAUGGGGGGGAAGCAUCAAUACUCCCAAGGACUGUUUUAAAGACAUCUGAGAGGAGGCAGCCAAGGUGCAAUAUUUUGUCUAGACGUGUUUCCCUGGCACAACUAUAAUUUAUUUUGGGGGUUUUCAGCAGCAUGCAGGACUUCCUAAUCCAAAAGUUUGUUGGCACAGAGAUGCACAGAUUGCCUGCUGAGCACUGCUGUAGUAAAUUCAGUGAGUGAGGGGUCUGCCGUGGGAAUUGGGCUGGGGGUGUCCCCGAGAGCAGCCGCAGCCAGGGCUGCACAGGGUGGGUGUGACACUGCUGGAGAAAUUGGGGUUGCAUCUUCCUACACGGGCCCAGAGUUUCAAGGGUCAUGUGCCAAAUCCCGAGUGCCAAAAGCACUUGAGAAUCGUUUGCCACCACCAUGAAAACUCCUGGGGAAAUCCCAGCCUGCAGUGAGAAAGCUGAAGCUUUUUCUAUCACAAAUACCCACCCCCUGCUCACCAAUUUUCUUGAGUAUGUUUCAGUUAUUUUCAGCAAGUUUCUUUCUAAAAAGUAUUUGCAUUUUUCAGGACAGAGAAUUGAGAAAAGCCCCCAAACAUUUUGGUUUCUGCUGGGAAUUUUACAGAUAUACUAAUGCAAACUUGGCACAGAAUGCAGUGAGAAUGUCAGCAACCUCAGAAGUCUAGAAGGAUCCAGUGGAUGAAGCUCCAGCAGCAAAA
rnacentral:lncRNA from 12 species